rnacentral:rRNA from 1 species
AGCGAACGCUGGCGGCAGGCUUAACACAUGCAAGUCGAGCGCCCCGCAAGGGGAGCGGCAGACGGGAGAGUAACACGUGGGAACAUACCUUUUGGUUCGGAACAACUUAGGGAAACUUCAGCUAAUACCGGAUAAGCCCUUACGGGGAAAGAUUUAUCGCCGAAAGAUUGGCCCGCGUCUGAUUAGCUAGUUGGUGGGGUAACGGCUCACCAAGGCGACGAUCAGUAGCUGGUCUGAGAGGAUGAUCAGCCUCACUGGGACUGAGACACGGCCCAGACUCCUACGGGAGGCAGCAGUGGGGAAUAUUGGACAAUGGGGGCAACCCUGAUCCAGCCAUGCCGCGUGAGUGAUGAAGGCCUUAGGGUUGUAAAGCUCUUUUGCCCGGGAAGAUAAUGACGGUACCGGGAGAAUAAGCCCCGGCUAACUUCGUG